GACGAACCGAGCGAACGUUGUUCGGAAUCACUGGGCUUAAAGGGCGCGUAGGCGGGCUGUCAAGUCUGGGGUGAAAUCCCGCGGCUCAACCGUGGAACUGCCUCAGAUACUGACGGUCUCGAGGGAGGUAGGGGCGAGCGGAACUGAUGGUGGAGCGGUGAAAUGCGUUGAUAUCAUCAGGAACUCCGGUGGCGAAGGCGGCUCGCUGGAUCUCUUCUGACGCUGAGGCGCGAAAGCCAGGGGAGCAAACGGG
rnacentral:rRNA from 1 species